UACGGAGGGGGCUAGCGUUGUUCGGAAUUACUGGGCGUAAAGCGCACGUAGGCGGAUAGUUAAGUCAGAGGUGAAAGCCCAGGGCUCAACCCUGGAACUGCCUUUAAUACUGGCUGUCUAGAGAUCGAGAGAGGUGAGUGGAAUUCCGAGUGUAGAGGUGAAAUUCGUAGAUAUUCGGAGGAACACCAGUGGCGAAGGCGGCUCACUGGCUCGAUACUGACGCUGAGGUGCGAAAGCGUGGGGAGCAAACAGG
rnacentral:rRNA from 1 species